UUUAGUUAGAGUUUGAUCCUAGCUCAGGAUGAACGCUGGCGGCGUGGAUAAGGCAUGCAAGUCGAACGAAUCAGUCCUAUGAAUGUCUGAUAGACUUCAAGUAGCAAUACAAGAAGAAUUGAUUACAGGAUUGGGUUUGCUGAUUAGUGGCGAACGAGGUAGUAAUACAUAGGAACUUCCCCCAAAGUCGUGAAUAAUUCGUCGAAAGACGGACUAAUACACGAUGGUCUCGCAAGAGUAAAGUUUUAACGCUUUGGGAAAGGCCUAUGCGAUAUCAGCUAGUUGGCAGUGUAAUGGACUACCAAGGCUAUGACGUCUAGGGGAGGUGAGAGCCUGACCCCCACCGAUGGUACUGAGACACGGACCAUACACCUACGGGUGGCUGC
rnacentral:ncRNA from 1 species